UACAGAGGGUGCGAGCGUUAAUCGGAAUUACUGGGCGUAAAGCGUGCGUAGACGGUUAUUUAAGUCGGGUGUGAAAGCCCCGGGCUCAACCUGGGAAUUGCAUUCGAGACUGAAUAGCUAGGGUACGGUAGAGGGAAGCGGAAUUUCCGGUGUAGCGGUGAAAUGCGUAGAUAUCGGAAGGAACAUCAGUGGCGAAAGCGGCUUCCUGGACCAGUACCGACGUUCAGGCACGAAAGCGUGGGGAGCAAACAAG
rnacentral:rRNA from 1 species